rnacentral:lncRNA from 1 species
ACUGUGUAAGUAAAGCUAGAAUGAGAAACUACUACCUUCCACUAGAGAAAAACAAGAGAAAGUUUUUUUCAUAUUACACUGCCUUUAUGACUGCUUAGUUUUUGGUGAUCCUGGUUUAAUGAUCUUUCCCUUAUGCUAACUACGACCAGGGAUCACCUUGUUUUUUUUUUUGCCAAGACAGCUCUUGCUGGCCCUUUCCCAGAUCUUUUGUUCAACCAUUAUGACCAUGCUUUUGCUUCUUCUGGACUUUAGAUACCUAUAACAGUUUCAAGAAGGAUGUGAUGGAAAAGCACUUAUGCGAAUUUACAGGCAGUUGAGAGACGACCUUUUCCCAGCUUAGGCUCUUUAUUAAUUGGUGAAGGUUUUGUCCACAAAGGACACCUUAACCAGGGGAACAUUUAACAGAAUGUUGGGCACAGGUUACUCAUCUUCCUUCUCUGCUUUGUGAUCUCACCAGCAAUAACACCUCAUAUCUUGUGCACCUCAAACAGACAGACUUGGUUUCCUCACUUGCUUGACAUAUCCAUCGGUGUUUCAUAAUACAGACUGUUGAAUCAGGUUUUCAGCUGUUACCAACUCAUGUCAUACUGUCUCUGUGUGGUCCUACCAAAACUGUGCAUUGAGAUCCCUUUGCUUUGCCAUUUGCAAGUGUCUGAAGUUGUCAAGUCUCAACUUCCAGAAGUCUUGGUUCCAUUGACAGGAUACGUAUGUGAUGACUCUUUAGGGGGAAUUGACGUAAAGUCUAGAUUGUAUGUAGGUAUGAAGGGAAUUUUUUAAAUAAAUGGAAGAUUAAGCUGUGAACAGCAUUAGAACUUUGUCUAUUCCUUAAUUUUAAAAUAUGCUGAUAUGCCUUAAACUGUAGUUGUAGAUCACUGUCAUUUUGCUGUUGGAAAAUAACCAAUGUGUUUUUUAAAACUUGUGUAAUCUCCUUUCAGUGUUAAUGCAGAAUUGUCAUAUAUGUAAACUGCAUGUUAGACACUUGUCUUUUUUAAAAAACUAAAACAAUUGUAUUGGUGUGAAGCAUAUCAUUUUUUUCAAGUAUGAAAGUAAUCCCGUAGCAAACUGGCUCGGUCAUUUGGUAUCUGUGGAGGUAGGAGCGUGGUGGACAGGUAAUCUAUGCAUAUCACUAGUGCCAAGAACAUAAAGUGGGGGAAAAUAUAUUUUUACCCAAACAUUGUGUGCCCUUUUGUGAGUUCUUUUUAGUCACUGUUUGAUAUACAAAUGUACACAUGUUUAUAAUACUGGAUAAAAGAAAUAGGGAA